UAAAGGAAUUGGCGGGGGAGCACCACAAGGGGUGAAGCCUGCGGUUCAAUUGGAGUCAACGCCAGAAAUCUUACCCGGAGAGAACAGCAGAAUGAAGGUCAAGCUGAAGACUUUACCAGACAAGCUGAGAGGUGGUGCAUGGCCGUCGCCAGCUCGUGCCGUGAGAUGUCCUGUUAAGUCAGGUAACGAGCGAGAUCCUCGCCACUAGCUGCUAUCAUUAUUCUCAGGAAUAGUGGGGCGAAUUAGUGGGACUGCCGUUGUUAAAACGGAGGAAGGAGGGGGCUACGGCAGGUCAGUAUGCCCCGAAACUCUGGGGCCACACGCGGGCUGCAAUGGUAGCGACAAUGAGCUCCAAACUCGAAAGAGAGUGGCAAUCUCUAAACGCUACCACAGUUAUGACUGAGGGCUGUAACUCGCCCUCACGAAUAUGGAAUCCCUAGUAACCGCGUGUCAUUACCGCGCGGUGAAUACGUCCCUGCUCCUUGCACACACCGCCA
rnacentral:rRNA from 1 species